UCCAAAUGGAAUUCCAAUGGAAUACUCUACUGGUGCCAAUGGAAUGCCAAUGAAAUCCCAAUGGAACACUCUGCCCAGUGCCAAUGGAAUUCCAAUGGAAUGCCCUGCCCAGUGCCAGGCCAAUGGAAUUCCAUGCUGGUGGAACACCAUGCCAGUGAAAUUCUAUCCCAAGACCAUCCCAAUGGAAUUCCACCCCAAGGCCAUUCCGUGCCACGACAAUGCCACGGCCAUUGUCACACCGCGCCAACACCGUGACAUUUGCCACGGCCAUGCCGAUGGAACUCCGUGCCGAUGGAAUUCCGUGUCAGUGGAAUUCCGUGUCAGUAGAAUUCCGUGUCAACCCAGCGCCUCAUCCCCGUUCUUCCCGCCACAGCACCUGCCCCUGGAUCCGGUGCCAGGUGACGCUGAGGCUCGGCUGGCCCAGCUGGAGCAAGCGUCGCAGGCGCUGCUGGCCGAGCUGGCGGCGCUGGACGCCGAGGUGGAGCUGGAGCAGCGGUGCCAGCAGCGAGCCCAGGCCUUCACUGCCCAGGUGAAGCAGGAGAACGUGCAGCUGGAGAGGCUGAGCCUGGCCAGGACCCCUGAGGGGACCCCAGAGCAGGAGACACCCAUGGAGCUGCCCCCAGAGGAGCCCCCCGCCCCUGCCCAGCUCCCAGGUGAGCCUGGGGUGUCAUCCCAUCCCAUCCCAUCCCAACCCAUUGAUCCUAUUCCAUCCCAUUGAUCCCAUUGAUCCCAUUGAUUCCAUCCCAUUCAUCCCAUUAACCCUAUUGUUCCCAUCCCAUCCCAACCCAUUGAUCCUAUUCCCUCCCAUUGAUCCCAUUAACCCCAUUCAUCCCAUCCCAUCCCUCCCUCACUUUGGGGCCAUUCCCAAGCCCCGUUCGGGUCAAACCAAUCGAAAGCGACACCGAAAUUCACCGGCGGUCGCCGAAACCGAAGCGCGGCCGCUCGCGCUUCCCCUUUCCCAUCCCCUUUUCCCACGGGGGCAGUUCCAGCUCUCAGCAGCCCCUGGGAACCUCCUGGGGACAUCCCAAAGUCCCUGAUUCAUGGCUGGGAUGAUCCCUGGGGGGUGUUUGGGGUCCUGGGGGUGCCACCCCAUUGUCACCCCUUUUCCCCCUCUUCCCCUUUUUCCCCUUUUCCCAUUCUUUUUCUCCCUUUUCUCACCCCUAAAUUCCCUCUUUCCCAACCUUUUCCUCCCAUUUCCCACCUUUUUUCUCCCCCUUUCCCACUCCUCACUGCCCCCAUUUCCCACCCCAAUAUCCCUCUUUCCCAACCCUUUUUUAAAUCAUUUUCCUUUUUUUCCCCUUUUCCCUUUUUUCCCAUCCCUCAUUCCUGUUUCCCACUCUUUCUCUCCCCAUUCCCCACAACUCAAUUCCUUUUUUCCCACUCCUCGUUCCCCCUCAUUUCCUUCCUUCCCCCUCUUUUUCCUCCAUUCUCCUUUCUCCCCUCCCUUUUCCCCCUUUUCUCCUUUUUCCCCCUCUUCCCCCCUUUCUCACCCCUCAUUUCCCCCUUUCCCACCCUUUUCCCCUAUUUCCCACCCCUCCUUUCCCUUUUCCCCCUUUUUCUCUUUUUCCCCCCUCUUCCCUCGUUUCUCAUCCCUAUUUUCCCCUUUUUUCCCCUUUUUUCCCCAUUUCCCACUCCUCCUUUCCCCUUUUUCCCUUUUUCCCCCUUUUCCCCCUUUUUUCCCUUUUUCCCCUUUUUUCCCGUUUUUCCCCUUUUUCUCCUUUUUUCCCCUUUUUUCCCUUUUUCUCCUUUUUUCCCUUUUUCCCCUUUUCCCUUUUUCCUUUCCCCAUUCCCCGCUCAUUCCAGCCCCCCAGGAUCUCUCCCAGCUCCUGGAUCAGCACCGGGAUCUCCAGGUGCAGCUGCAGCACCUGCACACCCAGCUGGAGCUGGAGCGGGAGGAGCAGCAGCGCCUGCGGGCGGCCCUGGGCGCCAGCCAGAGAGCGCUGAGGUCCUUCAAGAGAGUGUCCCAGAUUGUCACCCAGGAUUACUGCCAGGCCCUGGAGCAGCUGGAGCUGGAGCAGGACCUGCGCUGCCACGCCGAGGCCUUCGCCCACCAGAUGCUGGUGCAGCAGAAGGAGGCGAAGCGCCAGAGCUCCAUCCUGCUCAGGAGCGCCGGCCCCGAUUCCCAAAUCCUGGAAGCGCUCCAGGAACUGGGAAAACUCAGCCGGGAGCUGGAGGAGACGCGGCGGGAGCGGCGGCAGCGGGUGAGGGACUGUCCCCAGAUUUGGGGACAUCGCGGGGAGGGGACAGCGGGGACAGCGCUGUAAAUUCCCUUUUUCCCCACUGGUUUCUCCCCAUUUCCCACCCUCCUCCCUUUCCCCCUUUUUCCCCUUUCCCCCUUUCUACCCAUUCCCUCCCAUUUCCCACCGCUCAUUCCCCCCUUUUCCCCUUUUCCUCCUUUUCCCCUUUUCUUUUCCCCUUUUCUUUUCCCCUUUUCCCCCUCCAUUCCCACCCCAUGCCCCUUUUCCCAUGGAGCACUGCUUUCUUUUUUUUUUUUUUUUUUUUUUUUUUUUUUUUUCCCCGAGCCCUCAUCCCACACGGAGCGGGAGAUUUUUCCCCAAAAUCCGCUGGCAUUUGGGGGAUUUUGGGGGGAGUUCUGAAGCACCCCCACCCUCGGGAUUUUCCUGGAUCGCGGAAUUCCCAAAUCCCGCAGGAGAAGGAGCUGGAGGAGCAGCUGGGGGAGCAGCGGGAGCAGCUGGAUCGAGCCCGGGCGGAGCUGGAGGAGGAGCGGGAGGAGAAACGGGAGCUGAGGGAGAGGCUGGAAGGGCUGGAAAAGGAAGUGGGAUCCCUCCGCGAGCAGCUGGCUCUGUCACCUCAGAGCCACCCCGAGGUGCCACCGCCGCCACCGCUGCCACCGCCCGCUGCCACCGCUGUCCCCGCCGACCCCCUGGCCACCCUCAGGAAGAGGAAGGCGCCGAAAAACCGGGAGAGAACAGGUGACCCCGGGACCGAGGACAUCCGAGCCAGGGCCGUGCAGGAGAUGCUGGAGCGGAUCCGCAGCGGGAUCGUCCUGAGGCCGGCGCGGGAGCGGCCACACCUGCGCCAGGAUUCCACGGCCAGCAAGAGGCGGAGCGCGGCGCUGGAGCUGCAGGGGAUCCUGGUGGGCAGCGCUGUCCCCUCCCUGUCCCCGCGGUGUCCCCUCGGUGUCCCUGCAGAGUCCCCUUGCUGUCCCACGCUGUCCCCUCGCUGUCCCCGUGUUGUCCUCCCUGUUUCCUCCCUGUCCCCUUUGUGUCUCCUCCCUGUCCCUCAUUGUCCCCUCUCUGUCCCCAUGGUGUCCCCCCUCUGUCCCCUCCUGUCCCCAUGGUGUCCUCUCUCUGUCCCCUCCCUGUCCCACUAGUGUCCCCUCGCUGUUCCGUCUCUGUCCCUUCGCUGUCCCCACGGUGUUCCCUCUCUGUCCCCUCCCUGUCCCUGCUCUGUCCCUCUCCGCUGUUCCGUCUCUGUCCCUUCGCUGUCCCCUCCCUGUCCCUGCUCUGUCCCCCUCUGUCCCCAUAACACGACGCUCUUCCGAUCUAAUAGUGUCCCCUCGCUGUUCCGUCUCUGUCCCUUCGCUGUCCCCACGGUGUUCCCUCUCUGUCCCCUCCCUGUCCCUGCUCUGUCCCUCUCUGUCCCCACGCUGUCCCCGCGUUUUCCUCUCCCUGUUUCCUCCCUGUCCCUUUAGUGUUCCCUUACUGUCCCUGCAGUGUCUCCCCUCUCUGUCCUCCACUGUCCCCUCUCUGCCUCCUCGCUGGCUGUCGCUGUCGCUUGCUCUGUCCCUCGCUGGUGUCCCCACGGUGUCCCCGUGCCCCGCAGGGUGCCCCGCGCAGGCCGAGCCGCCGGCGCAGCGGGAGGAGCCGGGACCCGCAGCGGGCGGAGCUGGGAUCCAUCCUGGAGCGGCGGCGGCGGGCGCUGGACGCUUCCCUGGGAGAGAAUUCCACGGGGAACGAUUCCACGGGGAACGAUUCCAUCGGCAAUCCCACGGACGGAGCUGGGAAGAGGCUGGACACGGGUAGGGAGCGGGGAAUGUCCCCAAGGAGGUGACACCACCGGCACCUGUCCCCUCCUGUCCCCGCUCCCAUCGCUGCCAUCGCUUUUCCCAGGAAACCGGGACACGGACAAGGACAAGGACAAGGACAAGGACAAGGACAAGGACAAGGACAAGGACAAGGACAAGGACAGUGUCCCCUUCCGGCCCCGGGGCCUUGGUGGCCUCCCCAGGACACGUCCCCUCCCCCGCCGGGACAGGGACAGCGCCUAGGAGCCGCUUCUGGGGUUUCCUCCCUUUCCCGGGAUUUUCCUCCUCCAUUUCCCGGGAUUUUCCUCCUCCAUUCCCCGCGGUUUUCCUCCUCCAUUUCCCAGGAUUUUCCUCCUUCAUUUCCCAGGAUUUUCCUCCUUCAUUUCCCAGGAUUUUCCUCCUUCAUUUCCCGGAAUUUUCCUCCUUCAUUUCCUGGAAUUUUCCUGCCUCCAUACCCGGGAUUUGUCGCCCUCCUUUCAAGGAUUUCCCGCCCUCUUUUCCCAAGAUUUUCCACCCUCCUUUCUAAGAUUUUCCUUCUUAAUUUCCUGUGAUUUUCCUGCUUCAUUUCCCGGGGAUUUCCUCCUUUCUUAAUUUCCUGUGAUUUUCCUGCUUCAUUUCCCGGGGUUUUCCUCCUUCAUUUCCUGUUAUUUUCCUCCUUCAUUUCCCAGGGUUUUCCUCCUUCAUUUCCCGGGGUUUUCCUGCCUCCAUUCCUGAGAUUCAUUGCCCUCCUUUCCAACAUUUCCCACUCUUUUUUUCCCAAGAUUUUCCAUCCUUUUGCCCCAGGAUUUUCCAUCCUCUUUUCCAGGAUUUUCCUCCUUCAUUUCCUGUGAUUUUUCUGCCUCCAUUCUUGGGAUUCUCCUCCUUCAUUUCCCGGGGUUCUCCUGCUUCAUUUCCUGGGAUUCUCCUUCAUUUCCCAGGAUUUUCCUGCUUCAUUUCCCGGGAUUUUCCUCCUUCAUUUCCCGGGAUUUUCCUGCUUCAUUUCCCGGGAUUUUCCUCCUUCAUUUCCCGGGAUUUUCCUGCUUCAUUUCCCGGGAUUUUCCUCCUUCAUUUCCCGGGAUUUUCCUGCUUCAUUUCCCAGGAUUUUCUUGCUUCAUUUCCCGGGAUUUUCCUCCUUCAUUUCCCGGGAUUUUCCUGCUUCAUUUCCCGGGAUUUUCCUCCUUCAUUUCCCGGGAUUUUCCGCCUUCAUUUCCCGGGAUUUUCCUCCUUCAUUUCCCGGGAUUUUCCUGCUUCAUUUCCCGGGAUUUUCCUCCUUCAUUUCCCGGGAUUUUCCUGCUUCAUUUCCCGGGAUUUUCCUCCUUCAUUUCCCGGGAUUUUCCUGCUUCAUUUCCCGGGAUUUUCCUCCUUCAUUUCCCGGGAUUUUCCUGCUUCAUUUCCCGGGAUUUUCCUCCUUCAUUUCCCGGGAUUUUCCUGCUUCAUUUCCCGGGAUUUUCCUCCUUCAUUUCCCGGGAUUUUCCUGCUUCAUUUCCCGGGAUUUUCCUCCUUCAUUUCCCGGGAUUUUCCUGCUUCAUUUCCCGGGAUUUUCCUCCUUCAUUUCCCGGGAUUUUCCUCCUUCAUUUCCCGGGAUUUUCCUGCUUCAUUUCCCGGGAUUUUCCUGCCUCCAUUCCCAGGAUUUUUCACCCUCCCUCCUAGGAUUUUCUCACUUCAUUUCCCGGGAUUUUCCACCCUUUCCCCCCAACAUUUCCCUCCCCAACAUUUCCCUCCCUCUUUUCCCAGAAUUUCCCGCUCUCCUUUCCUAAGAUUUCCCAUCUUUUCCCCCCCAACAUUUUCCGCCCUCAAUUCCCAGAAUUUCCCUCCCUAUUUUCCCAGGACUUUCCAUCCUCAUUUCUCAGGACUUCCCACCCUCCUUUCCCAACAUUUUCCACCCUCUUUUCCCAAGAUUUUUUUGCCCUCCCUUCCAGGAUUUUCCACCCCCUUUUCCAGGGAUUUUCCUGCCUCCUUUCCCAAUAUUUUCCAAAAUUUUUACCAAUCAUUAUCCCACCCUCAUUUCCCACGAAAUUUCCUGCUUCAUUUCCUGGGAUUUUCCACCCCUUUCCCAAGAUUUCCCACCUUCAUUCCCCAACAUUUUCUGCCCUUUUUUUCCAAAGAUUUUCUGCCCUCAAUUCCCAGAAUUUUCCACCCUCCUUUUCCAAGAUUUCCCAUCAUCCUUUCCAGGAUUUCCCACCCUUUUCCCAGCAUUUUCCAUCCUCCUGGGAAUCCCUGAAAAAAUGGCUUUCCAUGGAAUUCCAGAUUGGCUUGGGAACACCCCAAAUCCCCCCAAAAUUCGGGAAUUCUUUCCCAAAAUCCCACAGAACCUCUGGCAACUCCUCCUUUUCUACAACAUCCAAAUAAAAUUCUUUAUUUCCCUUGGAUUUGGGAACACCUGGAAUUAUUCCUGGCAUUCCAAAGCUCCUUUCCUGGGAAUCCCAAAUCCUCCAUUCCCCAGGAAUUCCCUUGGAUUUGUUUUUAUCCCGGAUUUUUCCUCCUCCUCCUCCAGCUGGAAUUGAAAUAUUUAAGGCUGGGAGGGAUUUUCCCAAAUUUCCCUGAAUUUCUGCUCCUUUUUCCCUGUGGAUUUUCCAGGAGGAAAACUGGGAAGGAGAGAUUGAAUCCCUGCCCAAAAAGAUCGGAAGAGCGGUUCAGCAGGACCCCCCCCCCCCCCCCCCCCCCCCCCCCCCCCCCCCC
rnacentral:lncRNA from 12 species